AACUUUCAGCGACGGAUCUCUUGGCUCUCGCAUCGAUGAAGAACGCAGCGAAAUGCGAUAAGUAGUGUGAAUUGCAGAAUUCAGUGAAUCAUCGAAUCUUUGAACGCACCUUGCGCUCCUUGGUAUUCCGAGGAGCAUGCCUGUUUGAGUGUCAUUA
rnacentral:rRNA from 1 species